rnacentral:rRNA from 1 species
GUCGAGAAUUUUUCACAAUGGGCGAAAGCCUGAUGGAGCGACGCCGCGUGGGGGAUGAAGGGCUUCGGCUCGUAAACCCCUGUCAUUUGCGAACAAAGGCGCCAACCUAAUACGUUGUCGUCUGAUAGUAGCAGAAGAGGAAGGGACGGCUAACUCUGUGCCAGCAGCCGCGGUAAUACAGAGGUCCCAAGCGUUGUUCGGAUUCACUGGGCGUAAAGGGUGCGUAGGUGGUGGACUAAGUCAGGUGUGAAAUCUCCGGGCUCAACCCGGAGCGUGCGCCCGAAACUGGUCCGCUCGAGGAUGGGAGGGGAGACUGGAAUUCUCGGUGUAGCAGUGAAAUGCGUAGAUAUCGAGAGGAACACCCGUGGCGAAGGCGAGUCUCUGGACCAUUCCUGACACUGAGGCACGAAAGCCGGGGGAGCAAACAGGAUUAGAAACCCUAGUAGUCC